rnacentral:lncRNA from 1 species
GGCAUGGGAAAUGUCUGCCUCCAUGAUUCAAUUACUUCCCACCAGGUCCCUCCCACAACACAUGGGAAUUAUGGGAGCUACAAUUCAAGAUGAGAUUUGGGUGGGGACUCAGCCAAACCAUAUCGAUACAUAAGCAUUUUACUGGGCUUUGGCUGUAUUAAGGGAUUGAUUGGAGAUUUUAAGAUCAUACAUUAUAAUUUUUCCCAUUUAAAAUAAUGCAAAAUGUGUUCUUCAUUGAUGCUUCCAAGCACAGAUUCUGACAUUUUGCAACAGGAUUCCAAUGUUAAGAGAAAGCUCCGUGUCACUUACUGGUUCUGAUGGGUCAGACCUGGACUCGGGGAAUGGAGGGGCUGGGUUCCUCCUAAACCACAGGGACUGAGGUGGGGUACGAGUGACUACCCAAAAGAACACUGGGGUUCAUUUAGCAACAGGAUGGGAAAUGGAUACUGAAAAGCAAAAUAACAAAUUUUACAAAAAUGUUUUCUGUCCAAGAAUUAAAUAUGUGACACAUCAA